UCCUUGGAGGACUAGUGGUUAGGCCACAGCGCUCUCACCGCUGCGGCCUAGGUUUGAUUCCUGGCCAAGGAA
rnacentral:tRNA from 1 species